rnacentral:rRNA from 2 species
UCAGAUGAACGCGGGCGGCGUGCCUAAUACAUGCAAGUCGAGCGAACAGACGAGGAGCUUGCUCCUCUGACGUAGCGGCGGACGGGUGAGUAACACGUGGAUAACCUACCUAUAAGACUGGGAUAACUUCGGGAAACCGGAGCUAAUACCGGAUAAUAUAUUGAACCGCAUGGUUCAAUAGUGAAAGACGGUUUUGCUGUCACUUAUAGAUGGAUCCGCGCCGCAUUAGCUAGUUGGUAAGGUAACGGCUUACCAAGGCAACGAUGCGUAGCCGACCUGAGAGGGUGAUCGGCCACACUGGAACUGAGACACGGUCCAGACUCCUACGGGAGGCAGCAGUAGGGAAUCUUCCGCAAUGGGCGAAAGCCUGACGGAGCAACGCCGCGUGAGUGAUGAAGGUCUUCGGAUCGUAAAACUCUGUUAUUAGGGAAGAACAAAUGUGUAAGUAACUAUGCACGUCUUGACGGUACCUAAUCAGAAAGCCACGGCUAACUACGUGCCAGCAGCCGCGGUAAUACGUAGGUGGCAAGCGUUAUCCGGAAUUAUUGGGCGUAAAGCGCGCGUAGGCGGUUUUUUAAGUCUGAUGUGAAAGCCCACGGCUCAACCGUGGAGGGUCAUUGGAAACUGGAAAACUUGAGUGCAGAAGAGGAAAGUGGAAUUCCAUGUGUAGCGGUGAAAUGCGCAGAGAUAUGGAGGAACACCAGUGGCGAAGGCGACUUUCUGGUCUGUAACUGACGCUGAUGUGCGAAAGCGUGGGGAUCAAACAGGAUUAGAUACCCUGGUAGUCCACGCCGUAAACGAUGAGUGCUAAGUGUUAGGGGGUUUCCGCCCCUUAGUGCUGCAGCUAACGCAUUAAGCACUCCGCCUGGAGACCCAGUUG